GGACUACUCGGGUUUCUAAUCCCGUUCGCUACCCUAGCUUUCGUGCCUCAGCGUCAGAUAAGGCCCAGUAAGCCGCCUACGCCACCGAUGUUCCUUGCAAUAUCAAAGCAUUUCACCGCUCCACCGCAAGUUCCGCUUACCUCUACCUUCCUCAAGUCCGCCAGUAUGAAACGCAAUUCCUCAGUUGAGCUGAGGGAUUUCACAUCCCACUUAGCAGACAGCCUACGCACCCUUUAAGCCCAGUGAUUCCGAAUAACGUUUGCUCGGUUCGUCUUACCGCGGCUGCUGGCAC
rnacentral:rRNA from 1 species